GGAGAGAUGACCGAGCGGUUGAAGGUGCUCGCCUGGAAAGCGUGUAUACAGGAAACUGUAUCGGGGGUUCGAAUCCCCCUCUCUCCG
rnacentral:tRNA from 1 species